GGAAAUGUGGCUUAGUGGUACAGUGCUUGCCUAGCAUGCAUGAAGCCCUGAGUUCAAUUCCUCAGUACCA
rnacentral:tRNA from 1 species